rnacentral:rRNA from 1 species
ACGGGAGGCAGCAGUAGGGAAUAUUGCACAAUGGGGGAGACCCUGAUGCAGCAACGCCACGUGUGGGAAGACGCAUUUCGGUGUGUAAACCACUGUCGUGAGGGAAUAAGGCAUCGUUUCGGCGAUGUUGAAUGUACCUCGAAAGGAAGCACCGGCAAACUUCGUGCCAGCAGCCGCGGUAAUACGAGGGGUGCAAGCGUUGUUCGGAAUCACUGGGCGUAAAGGGAGCGCAGGCGGAGAUGCAAGCGGACUGUACAAUACCGGGGCCCAACCCCGGACCUGCAGUCCGGACUGCACCUCUUGGAUAGUUCAGGGGCAAGCGGAAUUCCUGGUGUAGCGGUGGAAUGCGUAGAGAUCAGGAAGAACACCGAUGGCGAAGGCGGCUUGCUGGGGACUAAUCGACGCUCAUGCUCGAAAGUGCGGGUAGCAAACAGGAUUAGAUACCCUGGUA